UUCGGAUCGCAGGCCGCAACCCGCCUGCGUGAAGUCGGAAUCGCUAGUAAUCGCGGAUCAGCAUGCCGCGGUGAAUACGUUCCCGGGCCUUGUACACACCGCCCGUCACACCAUGAGAGUCGGGAACACCCGAAGUCCGUAGCCUAACCGAAAGGAGGGCGCGGCCGAAGGUGGGUUCGAUAAUUGGGGUGAAGUCGUAACAAGGUACC
rnacentral:rRNA from 1 species